AAAUUAACAAGACUUGAUGAGAAAUAUGCUAUUCUUUUACUGAAAGUAAAUUGUUAUUUGCAACAUAAAUAUGGUACUGACCCAUAUAGUACAGGUUCUUUUGAAUUUAGUAUGCCUGUUAUUUGAUCACUCAAUUCUUGGUCUACUUUUCUCUAUUAGAAUCAUUUUGCAACCUCAGGUAACAUCUCUGCUGGUCUUGGUGAGCUACCUGGUGGUGUAAAGCCCCACUCUCCUUCCCAAGAGGUUAGAGUUCCUGGUAAUUGUACCCUUCUCAGGCUAGGGUUGCUACACUUCUCCAUUCAUAGUCACAGCUGGGACAAAGAAGAAACCAGGAGGUACCAAGCAGAUCCCCUGAAUUUCGCACUUACUCCACCUUGCUGUGAUUGUGUCACACAUCCCUACAUCUCCUGCUUGUCAUGGUCAUUUACCUGGGACGAGAUGAUGACUCCUUUCCAUGACUGCUGGUCACUAGACACAAGGAUCUCCAAGAGUCCAGGUGGCAUCUGUGUUGCCUGGCAAGAGUGGGCUUCCUGCAGAGCCCAGAGUUGAGAGGAUGGAAAGCUUCAAAGUCUCCUAAUGGGUCAUUGGGAAUGAUGGAAAAUGGGGCCACUCCGGCUUCCACACUUGGUUCCUGACCCCAGGUAUUAUUCUUACUGCAAACACAGAAAAGUGUAAAGUUGUCUGAUUCAAAACAUAUUGCAUCCUAGAAAAAUGGUGCCUUACUCUUACAGGAUAUUGCCUCCAAGCUGGUGCUUCAACUGUGUCUUUAGAAGACCAUUCCAUUACUCUAUCAGGCUGACAACUUCUGGGUGCGGCAUUGCGAGGAUUAAAUGGAGUGAAGCACGUAAAGGAUUUAGUACACUGCUUGCUGCAGAAUAAGAGCUUAGAGGACAUGGAGAGGAAGGAGCCAGCACAAGAGCACACAAGCAACGCUAUCCAUCUGUCUUCUUUUCUGUACAAGCUGAGGGCUCCUCAAGAACUGCCCUAAGUGCUUUAUAUGUUUAUCUCCCUUAAUCCUCAUAACAGUUUUGACUUUUCCAGAAUGUCAUAUAGUUGGAGUCAUACAACUAUAAAGCUAGAGUUUUCACUUCUUCCUACCCCUAGUUCCAAGGGAGCCAACAGACUCUGAGGCCUGUGUUCACUCCUUCUCUAGCAGAGCCAACAGACCCAGGUGGAGAAAAUCUAUAUGCAACAAGAUUCAUAAGGAACUAGAAGAGAGGGGAAGUGCCUUUUCAGAAUUCGGAGGGAAGUGGUGACACCAGUAGGAUGAAGGGAUAAAAGAGGAGAGGACUGUAGGCAUUGCUGGAGAGAAUGGAGAGAGUGUAGGACAGCAGGCAGGGCUCUGUGCUUGGCAUCCUUUCUCCAGAGGUCCUGGUGGGAAGGAGGUCUUCCUCCUUCAAGUAGUGCAAAGGAAUGAAGUAGUUGCAUUGGAGGUUACAGGGGUACUAGGUGGCAUGCCCUUUUAAGACCAUGUGUCUUUGAGGCUCCUUGUCUAGGCUACGUGCCAACACUCAUGAUGAUAACACAUGAUAAUAAUCCUGGGCUUGGUUAACCCAGCUGUUUUUGAAUGGGUGAGUUAGCACAAAGUCCCUCAUGGUCUGAGGGAACACGGAGGACCUUGGAGAGGGUCAUAUAGGGACAGUCCCUCUUGGUAAGCACACAGCCUUUGUUCCUUUGCCUACUUAAGCAAGCAUCUCUCAGGGAGCAGUAGCAGGUGCACAUCUCGGGUCCACUGGACCUUCCCUGUAAGUAACUCCCCGAUAAAAACUUAUGUCUCGUUCACCAUCUCUGGGUCUUUUCUUUGGUCUC
ensembl:lncRNA